AGGGAAUCUUCCGCAAUGGACGAAAGUCUGACGGAGCAACGCCGCGUGAGUGAUGAAGGUUUUCGGAUCGUAAAGCUCUGUUGCCAGGGAAGAACGUCCGUUAGAGUAACUGCUACAGGAGUGACGGUACCUGAGAAGAAAGCCCCGGCUAACUACGUGCCAGCAGCCGCGGUAAUACGUAGGGGGCAAGCGUUGUCCGGAAUUAUUGGGCGCAAAGCGCGCGCAGGCGGCUGUUUAAGUCUGGUGGUUAAUCCUGGGGCUCAACCCCGGGUCGCACUGGAAACUGGACGGCUUGAGUGCAGAAGAGGAGAGUGGAAUUCCACGUGUAGCGGUGAAAUGCGUAGAGAUGUGGAGGAACACCAGUGGCGAAGGCGACUCUCUGGGCUGUAACUGACGCUGAGGCGCGAAAGCGUGGGGAGCAAAC
rnacentral:rRNA from 1 species